AACGAACGCUGGCGGCAGGCCUAACACAUGCAAGUCGAGCGAGCCUUUCGGGGCUAGCGGCGGACGGGUGAGUAACGCGUGGGAACGUGCCCUUCUCUACGGAAUAGCCUCGGGAAACUGAGAGUAAUACCGUAUACGCCCUUCGGGGGAAAGAUUUAUCGGAGAAGGAUCGGCCCGCGUUGGAUUAGGUAGUUGGUGGGGUAAUGGCCUACCAAGCCGACGAUCCAUAGCUGGUUUGAGAGGAUGAUCAGCCACACUGGGACUGAGACACGGCCCAGACUCCUACGGGAGGCAGCAGUGGGGAAUCUUAGACAAUGGGGAAACCCUGAUCUAGCCAUGCCGCGUGAGUGACGAAGGCCUUAGGGUCGUAAAGCUCUUUCGCUGGGGAAGAUAAUGACGGUACCCAGUAAAGAAACCCCGGCUAACUCCGUGCCAGCAGCCGCCGUAAGAC
rnacentral:rRNA from 1 species